rnacentral:rRNA from 1 species
AGGACGAACGCUGGCGGCGUGCUUAACACAUGCAAGUCGAACGGAAAGGCCCGCUUGCGGGUACUCGAGUGGCGAACGGGUGAGUAACACGUGGGCAACCUGCCCUCAGCUUCGGGAUAACACUUGGAAACAGGUGCUAAUACCGGAUAAUAACCUUUCAUCGCAUGGUGGUUGGUUCAAAGUUUUUCGGCUGAGGAUGGGCCCGCGGCCUAUCAGCUUGUUGGUGGGGUAAUGGCCUACCAAGGCGACGACGGGUAGCCGGCCUGAGAGGGCGACCGGCCACACUGGGACUGAGACACGGCCCAGACUCCUACGGGAGGCAGCAGUGGGGAAUAUUGCGCAAUGGGCGGAAGCCUGACGCAGCGACGCCGCGUGAGGGAUGACGGCCUUCGGGUUGUAAACCUCUUUCAGCUCUGACGAAGCGCAAGUGACGGUAGGAGCAGAAGAAGCACCGGCCAACUACGCGCCAGCAGCCGCGGUAA